UCUGUUGGAAUGCUUAUCGGAGGCAUGAAGUCUCCUCAUGGAAGAAAUUUGCAAUGAACUUUGACUACUGUACAACAUCAAGUGCUGAAUUUGUCUCGCUGGACGAGCAGACUCUUACCAAUAUUCUUAAGGUGGGUUCUUAUUUCCAAAAUAUGAAGGAGUCCUAGUUCAGUCAUUUGUUUUUUCUAUUUCUGAUGAUUAGGUUGCUUUGGAGCUUAAGGGUGAUGGAAAACUGACCACAUCUGAUGAUCUUCCUGCUGUAUUUGGUUGUCUGAAUAAGAAUUCAUUGAAAAGGCCAUACCUCUGAUCACCAAGAAAAGUGUUUGAAUAGCUUGUUGAUUCAUUGCUUGACAUUGUCUUCGAUGCAGAGAAGAUGAAUCGUAUGCUUCUAUGUAGGAACUUAACGUCUUCGCUUAGAGAGCCUUGAUUAUAUCCAAGUAGUUUUUACACUCUUAAUUAUAGUAACUUAAUUGUUGUUGAAUUGUCGAAUAUAUGGAU